UUGACCUCAAAUCAGGUAGGACUACCCGCUGAACUUAAGCAUAUCAAUAAGCGGAGGAAAAGAACUAACAAGGAUUCCCCUAGUAACUGCGAGUGAAGCGGGAAAAGCUCAA
rnacentral:rRNA from 1 species